UACGAAGGGGGCUAGCGUUGUUCGGAUUUACUGGGCGUAAAGCGCACGUAGGCGGAUCUUUAAGUCGGGGGUGAAAUCCUGGAGCUCAACUCCAGAACUGCCUUCGAUACUGGCGAUCUUGAGUCCGGAAGAGGUGAGUGGAACUCCUAGUGUAGAGGUGGAAUUCGUAGAUAUUAGGAAGAACACCAGUGGCGAAGGCGGCUCACUGGUCCGGUACUGACGCUGAGGUGCGAAAGCGUGGGGAGCAAACAGG
rnacentral:rRNA from 1 species